GAACGCCCCGCAAGGGGAGUGGCAGACGGGUGAGUAACGCGUGGGAACAUACCCUUCGGUUCGGAAUAGCUCAGGGAAACUUGAAUUAAUACCGGAUACGUCCGCAAGGAGAAAGAUUUAUCGCCGAAGGAUUGGCCCGCGUCUGAUUAGCUAGUUGGUGGGGUAACGGCCCACCAAGGCGACGAUCAGUAGCUGGUCUGAGAGGAUGAUCAGCCACAUUGGGACUGAGACACGGCCCAAACUCCUACGGGAGGCAGCAGUGGGGAAUAUUGGACAAUGGGCGCAAGCCUGAUCCAGCCAUGCCGCGUGAGUGAUGAAGGCCCUAGGGUUGUAAAGCUCUUUCGUCAGGGACGAUAAUGACGGUACCUGAAGAAGAAGCCCCGGCUAACUUCGUGCCAGCAGCCGCGGUAAUACGAAGGGGGCUAGCGUUGUUCGGAAUCACUGGGCGUAAAGCGCACGUAGGCGGAUCUUUAAGUCAGGGGUGAAAUCCCGGGGCUCAACCUCGGAACUGCCUUUGAUACUGGGGAUCUCGAGUCCGGGAGAGGUGAGUGGAAUUGCGAGUGUAGAGGUGAAAUUCGUAGAUAUUCGCAAGAACACCAGUGGCGAAGGCGGCUCACUGGCCCGGUACUGACGCUGAGGUGCGAAAGCGUGGGGA
rnacentral:rRNA from 1 species